AGUGAACGCUGGCGGUAGGCCUAACACAUGCAAGUCGAACGGCAGCACAGUAAGAGCUUGCUCUUACGGGUGGCGAGUGGCGGACGGGUGAGGAAUACAUCGGAAUCUACUUUUUCGUGGGGGAUAACGUAGGGAAACUUACGCUAAUACCGCAUACGACCUACGGGUGAAAGCAGGGGAUCUUCGGACCUUGCGCGAUUGAAUGAGCCGAUGUCGGAUUAGCUAGUUGGCGGGGUAAAUGCCCACCAAGGCGACGAUCCAUAGCUGGUCUGAGAGGAUGAUCAGCCACACUGGAACUGGGACACGGUCCAGACUCCUACGGGAGGCAGCAGUGGGGAAUAUUGGACAAUGGGCGCAAGCCUGAUCCAGCCAUACCGCGUGGGUGAAGAAGGCCUUCGGGUUGUAAAGCCCUUUUGUUGGGAAAGAAAAGCAGCAGGUUAAUACCCCGCUGUUCUGACGGUACCCAAAGAAUAAGCACCGGCUAACUUCGUG
rnacentral:rRNA from 1 species